rnacentral:other from 1 species
CGACACCUGGGGUGUUUGCCAGUCGAGAAGUUCUUGAGCCGAUUUUUACACCAAGGGAGAUUACCCGCGCUGCUGGUGUGCAUAUCCGCUUGACGGAGAGCCUAAUGUUGCACGGCGUCCCCCACCUUGAACCGUCGGGUUCAGGGCCACAUCGACAGCGGCAUUCCCGGGCCUUUU